GACCUUGUUAAAAUCCUCAUUAUUUUAAGUAGUUCUGUUGUAGAUUUUUAGGAUUUUCUAUACACACAAUCAUGUUGUCUGUGAAUAAAGGCAGUUUUGUUUCACUACUUUUUUCCCCAAUCUGUGUCCUUUUUAUUUAUUUUUCUUUUCUUAUUUCACAGGCUAAGGCUUCCAGUACAGUGUUGAACAGUAAUGAAGGCCUAACCAUUGGGCGACGAGGGAUCCAAGAUGGCCAAAUAGGAAGAGCUCUGGAGUGCAAUCCCCAGAGAGAACAACGCAGAGGGCGCGUGAUCACUGCAUUUCCAAAUCAGUUAUUACUGCCCAUAGUCCAGAAAAUUCCUGGGCUGAAAAGUGUCAUGAGUUUCCAGCAGGGCUGUUUCAGCUGGUGCAGCAGGUCUCCAUGCAAAAACUCACACAAAUCUGGAUGGCUGUUUCAUCUGGUGCCUGGAACGCCUGGGCAACAGAGCCACCCACUCAACUGAAAAAAAGGGAGCUAAAAUAGGGAGCUAGGUGAUCUGGCUUGGUGGGUCCCACCCCCACAAAGACCAGCAAUCUGAAACACUCUGGAUUGAGAGUUUCACAGCAAGCUCAGCUGGACCCAGGAUGGUCCAGCUCAGUGUGGGGAAGGGUGUCCACCAUUACCAAGGCAGUCCACCAUUACUGAGGCAGAUCAUCAUUACCGAGACAGUUCUAACUAUACCUCUAUAAACAAAACUGCAAGGAAGUUCACACAGCUGGGCAGAGCCCACGGCAGCUCAGCAAUGCCUCUGCUGGUAGACUGUGACUAAGCUACCUCCUUGCUGGGCAGGGCAUCUCUGAAAAAAGGCAGCAACGCAUCAGGAACUUAUAAAUAAAGCCCAACCUUCCCAGGACAGAGCACCUGGGAAAAAAAGGUAGUUAUGAGUUCUGCUGCAGCAGACUUAAAUAUACCUGCCCAGCAGCUCUGAAUGGAACAAUGGAGCUCCCAGCUCAGCCCUUCAGUUCCUGUAAGGGACAGACUGUCUCCUCAAGCAGCUCGCUGACCCCCAUAUGUCCAAAGAAACACCUCAUAAAGGAGAGUUCAGUCUGAUAUCUGGCAGGUGUCCUUCUGGGACAAAGAUAACAGAAGAAGAAACUGGCAGAAACCCUUACAGUUCUGCAGCUACCGCAGGUGAUUACGAGGCAAGCAGGGUCUGGAGUGGACCUCCAGCAGUCCUGGAGCAGAGGGGCCUGACUGUUAAAAGGAAAACUAAGAAACAGAAAGAAAUAACUUCAUCAUCAACAAAAAAGACAUCCACCCAGAGACCCCGUCCAAAAGUCACCAACUACAAAGACCACAGGUAGAUAAAUCCACAAAGAUGGGAAGAAACCAGAGCAAACAGGAUGAAAACAACAAAACCGGAAUGCCUCUCCUCUUCCAAGGGAUCACAACUCCUUAACAGCAAGGGAACAAGGCUGGAUGGAGAAUGAGUCUAAUGAAUUGACAGAAACAGGCUUCAGAAGAUGGGUAAUAAGAAACUUCUCUGAGCUAAAAGAACACAUUCUAACCCAAUGCAAAGAAACUAGAACC
ensembl:lncRNA